CUCGCUGCGAUCUAUUGAAA
rnacentral:piRNA from 1 species